AGAGUUUGAUCAUGGCUCAGGAUGAACGCUAGCGGCAGGCCUAACACAUGCAAGUCGAACGGUAACAUAAGAGCUUGCUCUUGAUGACGAGUGGCGCACGGGUGAGUAACACGUAUACAAUCUACCUUUAACUGAGGAAUAGCCCAGAGAAAUUUGGAUUAAUACCUCAUAACAAUGAUUUUUGGCAUCAAAAAAUAUUUAAAACCCCAGUGGUUAAAGAUGAGUAUGCGUUCUAUUAGUUUGUUGGUGAGGUAACGGCUCACCAAGACUACGAUAGAUAGGGGGCCUGAGAGGGUGAUCCCCCACACUGGUACUGAGACACGGACCAGACUCCUACGGGAGGCAGCAGUGAGGAAUAUUGCACAAUGGAGGAAACUCUGAUGCAGCCAUGCCGCGUGAAGGAUGAAUGCCCUCUGGGUUGUAAACGUAAACUUCUUUUAUAUGGGAAUAAACCCUCGGACGUGUCCGAGGCUGAAUGUACCAUACGAAUAAGCACCGGCUAGCUCCGUGCCAGCAGCCGCGGUAAUACGGAGGGUGCAAGCGUUAUCCGGAUUUAUUAGGUUUAAAGGGUUCGCAGGCGGAAUUUUAAGUCAGUGGUGAAAGCCUACAGCUCAACUGUAGAACUGCCAUUGAUACUGAUAUUCUUGAGUAUAGAUGAAGUGGGCGGAAUAUGUCAUGUAGCGGUGAAAUGCAUAGAUAUGACAUGGAACACCAAUUGCGAAGGCAGCUCACUAAACUAUUACUGACGCUCAUGAACGAAAGCGUGGGGAGCGAACAGGAUUAGAUACCCUGGUAGUCCACGCCGUAAACUAUGAUCACUAGAUGUUGGCGAUAUAUUGUCAGUGUUUUAGAGAAAUCGUUAAGUGAUCCACCUGGGGAGUACGUUCGCAAGAAUGAAACUCAAAGGAAUUGACGGGGGCCCGCACAAGCGGUGGAGCAUGUGGUUUAAUUCGAUGAUACGCGAGGAACCUUACCAAGACUUAAAUGUAUUUUGACAGGUUGAGAAAUCAACUUUUCUUCGGACAAUUUACAAGGUGCUGCAUGGUUGUCGUCAGCUCGUGCCGUGAGGUGUCGGGUUAAGUCCCAUAACGAGCGCAACCCCUAUUUUUAGUUGCCAGCGAAUAAUGUCGGGAACUCUAGAAAGACUGCCUGUGUAAACAGUGAGGAAGGGGGGGAUGACGUCAAAUCAUCACGGCCCUUAUGUCUUGGGCUACACACGUGCUACAAUGGUCACUACAGUGGGCUGCCAUCUGGCAACAGAGAGCAAAUCCAUAAAGGUAAUCCCAGUUCGGAUCGGAGUCUGCAACUCGACUCUGUGAAGUUGGAAUCGCUAGUAAUCGUAUAUCAGCAAUGAUACGGUGAAUACGUUCCCGGGCCUUGUACACACCGCCCGUCAAGCCAUGGAAGUUUGUGGUACCUGAAGUCAGUAACCGUAAGGAACUGCCUAGGGUAAAAUAGAUAACUAGGGCUAAGUCGUAACAAGGUAAC
rnacentral:rRNA from 1 species